rnacentral:miRNA from 1 species
UGUGCUUUCUGGUCUUGGCUUAG